AGAGUUUGAUCAUGGCUCAGAUUGAACGCUGGCGGCAUGCCUUACACAUGCAAGUCGAACGGCAGCGGACCUUCGGGUGCCGGCGAGUGGCGAACGGGUGAGUAAAGUAUCGGAACGUACCUUUCAGUGGGGGAUAACGUAGCGAAAGUUACGCUAAUACCGCAUAUUCUCUGAGGAGGAAAGCAGGGGACCUUCGGGCCUUGCGCUGAUGGAGCGGCCGAUAUCAGAUUAGCUAGUUGGUGGGGUAAAGGCCUACCAAGGCGACGAUCUGUAGCGGGUCUGAGAGGAUGAUCCGCCACACUGGGACUGAGACACGGCCCAGACUCCUACGGGAGGCAGCAGUGGGGAAUUUUGGACAAUGGGCGAAAGCCUGAUCCAGCCAUGCCGCGUGAGUGAAGAAGGCCUUCGGGUUGUAAAGCUCUUUCGGCCGGGAAGAAAUCGUGUGGGCUAAUACCCUGCAUGGAUGACGGUACCGGAAUAAGAAGCACCGGCUAACUACGUG
rnacentral:rRNA from 1 species